GACGAACGCUGGCGGCGUGCUCAACACAUGCAAGUCGAACGGAAAGGCCCUGCUUUUGUGGGGUGCUCGAUUGUCGAACGGGUGAGUAACACGUGAGUAACCUGCCCUUGACUUUUGGAUAACUUCAGGAAACUGGGGCUAAUACCGGAUAGGAGCUCCUGCUGUAUGGUGGGGGUUGGAAAGUUUCGGCGGUUGGGGAUGGACUCGCGGCUUAUCAGCUUGUUGGUGGGGUAGUGUCUUACCAAGGCCUUGACGGGUAGCCGGCCUGAGAGGAUGACCGGCCACAUAGGGACUGAGAUACAGCCCAGACUCCUACGGGAAGCAGAAGUGGGGAAUAUUACACAAUGGGCGGAAGCCUGAUGCAGCAACGCCGCGUGCGGGAUGAAGGACUUCGGGUUGUAAACCGCUUUCGCCUGUGACGAAGCGUGAGUGGAAGUAAUGGGUAAAGAAGCACCGGCUAACUACGUG
rnacentral:rRNA from 1 species